CAUUCUCCGGCUUAUAUUAGGCUUGGUUUUGUUUGGUGAUAAAUGAAAAUCUCCUCCUUAAAUUUCUUCUCACUUAACCACCGCUUCCUCCUCCUCCUUGAACCACCGCGAGUCAUUUUUCACACUGAUCCACCGCCGCACAUCAAUGUCUAUUGGUCGUGAAAUUAACACCAUUAAAUUUCUCUCAUUUUCAUCUUCAAAAGCCACCUAUUUCUUUUCCAGAUUCGUGAGAUUUGAAAAACCCUAAUCAUCACCUUCCCUCUUAAAUUCAUGCCACUAUGAACCUCAUUUUGAGAAACGAAAUUGAUAAUCCUUUUCCUCAUAAUGUCCGCAACAAAACCCCUAACUCUAUUUCUUGAUUUGAGCACUUUCAUAAACAACCACCGUGCCGAAAUUGAUAAUCCCGAAGCUUAUUUGAGAAUCCUUGCGACUCGAAUCCUUCAUCGUGGCUGAACAGAAAGAGAUAUGUGAGUAGCUUAAAUAAUUUUUUUUUGCCAAAUGAUGAAGUUUGUCUUAAUCUACUUAAUUAUAAAAGCAUAGGAAGAAUCUAUCUAUAGGCAUUCUAAAAUACAACAAGCUUGCUUGGUUUAGGUGGCAGUUGCUUAAUUUGAGAAAGAUUUUUUUUGCAGUGGUUGUACAUACAAAUUUUGCAAAUUCUGCAGCUGAUGUGUUUGUAAUAUGAACUUGCUAUUGGUAGUACACUAAAGAAGCAAAGUGGGAGAAGAAGCACAAUGGGAUAGGACAUUUUGAGUUUGAUUACUAUUUUAAAGUAGCAAACAAAGUGAAGAAGAAAUACAUUUCAACUAGAAUAGUCAUACUUGUAGAUAGUAUAAGUAAUGUAGUUUGCAAAAACAAUUGUAAUUUCUAUUUUAAAUUUAUGAUUUGAUUCACAACAUUAUAUUGCAAUCAAGUUCUAUUUUAUAUUGUAAUGAUGUUCAUUGGGAUUGUA